rnacentral:misc_RNA from 1 species
UUUCCGUAGGUGAACCUGCGGAAGGGUCAUCAUAAUAAAGUGUUUUAUGGCACUUUUUAAAAAUCCAUAUCCACCUUGUGUGCAAUGUUAGAUCUCGUCAAUCUUGGCGAGAUUUUUAUACAUCAACUCAUUCUUUAACUAAUUUGUCUGAAAAAUAUUAUGAAUACUUAAUUCAAAAUACAACUUUCAACAACGGAUCUCUUGGCUCUC